rnacentral:rRNA from 1 species
ACGAACGCUGGCGGCAUGCCUAACACAUGCAAGUCGAACGAGACCUUCGGGUCUAGUGGCGCACGGGUGCGUAACGCGUGGGAAUCUACCCUCAGGUUCGGAAUAACUCAGAGAAAUUUGAGCUAAUACCGGAUGAUGACGUAAGUCCAAAGAUUUAUCGCCUGAGGAUGAGCCGCUUAGGAUUAGGUAGUUGGUGAGGUAAAGGCUCACCAAGCCGACGAUCCUUAGCUGGUCUGAGAGGAUGAUCAGCCACACUGGGACUGAGACACGGCCCAGACUCCUACGGGAGGCAGCAGUGGGGAAUAUUGGACAAUGGGCGAAAGCCUGAUCCAGCAAUGCCGCGUGAGUGAUGAAGGCCUUAGGGUUGUAAAGCUCUUUUACCCGGGAUGAUAAUGACAGUACCGGGAGAAUAAGCUCCGGCUAACUCCGUG